AUCAUCAAAAUCAUUUGAUUUUAAGGAGCUUGUGUUUCUUCUUGUCCCACCACCACCAACCUGGCACUCGUUGAUGGUCUCUGUUCAGACAAACAGCUAUCGAAAUUGAUUAUAGUUGUGACUGGUUGUGGAGUAUCUGUGGGCGUCAUCCUGCUGGGAUCUGCAGUUCUUUCAAUCACAAAAAGGACCGGAAAAUGUGUUCGCCUCAGCCCAAAAGCCAACACCACCGGUAAAUCAAAAUAUGUGUGUGGAUAUAUGGAAAGUCUCAACAUUGGAGAGUACCUGCCGAGUGGUUAUGAUGAAACUUACAGUAUCGUCACUUAUGAAUUCAGCAAAAUAGAGUGACAAACGUUGACCGCAGCACCUCAGAGGAAGCAGCUGCAUCAGACCAGAGAGAUAACGUGUGCAGCAUUCGAA